UACAGAGGUCUCAAGCGUUGUUCGGAUUCAUUGGGCGUAAAGGGUGCGUAGGCGGCGCGGUAAGUCGGGUGUGAAAUCUCGGGGCUUAACUCCGAAACUGCAUUCGAUACUGCCGUGCUUGAGGACUGGAGAGGAGACUGGAAUUUACGGUGUAGCGGUGGAAUGCGUAGAGAUCCGGAAGAACACCGGUGGCGAAGGCGGCCUGCUGGGCAGUAGCUGACACUGAGGCGCGACAGCGUGGGGAGCAAACAGG
rnacentral:rRNA from 1 species